rnacentral:tRNA from 1 species
UGCCCGGGUGGCGGAAUUGGCAGACGCGCUGGCUUCAGGUGCCAGUGUUCGAUAAGGACGUGCGGGUUCAAGUCCCGCCCCGGGCACCAU